rnacentral:rRNA from 1 species
GAUGAACGCUGGCGGCGUGCCUAAUACAUGCAAGUCGAGCGAACAGACGAGGAGCUUGUUCCUCUGACGUUAGCGGCGGACGGGUGAGUAACACGUGGAUAACCUACCUAUAAGACUGGGAUAACUUCGGGAAACCGGAGCUAAUACCGGAUAAUAUAUUUAAACGCAUGGUUCAAUAGUGAAAGACGGAUUUGCUGUAACUUAUAGAUGGCUCCGCGUCGCAUUAGCUAGUUGGUAAGGUAACGGCUUACCAAGGCAACGAUGCGUAGCCGACCUGAGAGGGUGAUCGGCCACACUGGAACUGAGACACGGUCCAGACUCCUACGGGAGGCAGCAGUAGGGAAUCUUCGGCAAUGGGCGAAAGCCUGACGGAGCAACGCCGCGUGGGUGAGGAGGUUCUUCGGAUCUUAAACCUCUGUUAUUAGGGAAGAACAAAUGUGUAAGUAACUAUGCACGUCUUGACGGUACCUAAUCAGAAAGCCACGGCUAACUACGUG